UCUUAAAAAGAAGGGAAUAAGAUUUAAUAUUUUAUUCCAGUUUGAUGAGUUUUCAAAGUUUUAUAUUUAAACCCCGGGUUAUUGUGUUAUUGAUAAAUGAUUAUAUUUUUACAACUGAUUUUCAUAUAUUGUUUCGAAAAUUCUAGAUGAUAAUUAUGUGAAUAUAUGUGGUAUGUGACUAAGUGUUACUUGUGGUAUUGCUCGUUUAAUUAUUUAUGGUGAUUUAUGAUUAAUAUAUGAAUUUUUGUGAAUUUUAUAUUAUCUGGUUUAUUGCGUUAACUGCUCAUAUGUGUUCGUAUUUGAGAGAAUUCAAUUUCUAUAUGCUCAGGAGAAAAUAUAGUUUAUUUGGAAAUUUUCAUAUCGAUUUAUGGAAUGUUAGAUGAUUUUAUAAUCAAUUUACGGAUUUAAUUGUGUAUAUUUAUAUGUAUUUAUUAAUUAUUUGACUUCCGUAAAACCGUCCACUCGUAACGAGGUAGCAAAUUUUCUUCCCGGAAGUUUCAACAAAACUCACCUUUAGCCUAAUUUGAAUAUUCCGGACAUUUUUCGUGUUUUGACUUUUUCGAUCCGGAGUACGGUUUUCCCCGUAGUCGGUCCGGCGGAGUUUUUCGGGUAUUUUAAUUGUUGAUAAUUAUCCAGUUUGUCUCGAUAAGCGUGAAACGAGAUAUUUUGAUUAUUAUAUUAAUUCUUAUCUUGUCAUAAUUGCAAUGGGACCCGCAGACCAAUAAUUGAGUUAAAGAGCCUCGUUUUGAUGAUUAUCUCGAAAACCAGUACCGAUUGGACCCCGUUUUAUUAUAUAAAGCUACUAAAUACAUAUUUUCAUGUCAUAAACGAUCCAAAGGGGUACCAAUUAUUUGUAAAUAUAAAUAGGCCUUUCUAGAGCUGAUUUUCACCCGUAAAAUCAUUUCACCAGUUUCUCUGCACGAAUACCGAGAGAAACCGAGCGGUGUUCUUCGUGUUCUUCAUAAUCAAACGAAGAUUUGAAGGCGUUAUUGAAGUCAGAAUCAAGCGUGCGAAUAGUCAAAUCGAAGAUAUUGAAGAGUAGAACUCAAAUCAAUCAUCAAAAACAACCUGAGAUUCACAGGAUUUGGACGAGACGAGGAUGACCAAAGACGUUCAGAAGGACAAGUGGUGUUCCAAAGCGAAUAAAGAAUGAGUCGAGUAAGCGAAGUGGUGUGGCGAAUAGGGUAUAGCCAGAGAUGGUCUAGAGACUAUGAUAUGCAUAGAGUAUGAAGGUGGAAAGAUGAGAAUGAGCUGAGAGACGGGAGUCAGAUUUAAGGCAAGUAUCCUAUACCCUUCUUUUGGAUAUCUUGCGAUUAUUCUGAUCCAUUCUUUUCGUAUGUGUUGCAAAUAUUCGUUCCUCUCUUUUUCAUAUUUGGCAAGUGCAAAUAUUUUUAUCCAUCCUUUUCUGAUCCUCAAAAAUUCAGAUAAUUCCAGUUUUACAAAUUAAUUCGAAGUUCAGAUUGUCAUUGAAGCAUGUGUUGCUCAGUGAUGAUUAGAACCUAGAAUGACUUGGGAUCUUCUUGAUUAUUCAACCCGCCAUUGUCAUGCUGGUUUAGCAGGCUAAAUUCAGUUGCUUAGCCGAUAAUGGAGGAUAUUGAAUAGUUAAGGAUUUCCUGAACUAUGAUUUAUGGAAGGAUGGACUCUGGUUUAUGAAAAGUUGAUUAUUAAAGUGUGAUUUGGAAUUAUUCUAUCAUUGAUAUUGAUUGUGUUUAUGUUCUGUUGUUAUACGUUGACCUGUUAUUGAAUUAGAGAAUUGGAUUAUUAUUUUUUUUGAUAUAAACCUGUGGACCAGAUUCGUGGUCAUGUUAGGCCAAUGAGUGCCUUGGAUCCAGUGAUAGAGCAUGGCGGGGCCUGCUCGGGGUUAGUGCGGAACUGAUCAGCUGCCUAACCUUGGUUUUAAUUAAAAUGAGAUAGUCCAAUUCAAUAAUUCUCUUGUGAAGGAUUGAAUUCCUCAGUAUUCAAUUGCCGCAAGGUAUUGUGGUUUUCUUAUACAAUACCUAAACUCGUGAACUCAGGUUGAAUCCUUUUAUAUCUUGAACUCGUGAACUUCUGUUAUAUCAUUUCAGAAUUUUCAUUGUUUAUUACUACUUGCUGAGCGUUGUUGCUCACUCUUGCUAUUCCUUUCUAACCAUUUCAGAAAGGCUUAAAGAUGAGAUGAUUGAUUGAGAUUGUGAAUAAGGCUAAUGCUAGGCGAGGAGACAGAGUUGAGGAUCCAGUGGUCGAGGAGUGUUCAGGAAAGUUGAUGAGGUUGGUGCAAGCUGGAAUAGUUGACAGUGAUUCUUCUUAUCGAAGAUGAUCUGAUUUGGUAAGAGAUGUUGUGUAAUAAUAGUGGUAGAUUCUAAUUUCAAUACUGUAACCUGGAAGCGAUCCUGUUGUUUUGGGGGUGAAGAUGUUCUCUUUCAAAUCUUU